CCCAUCCCCCAUCCCUAACCGCUGCGGCCGCCAACCACCCCCCCCGGCGAUCCCUAACCCCUCCUCCUCCUCCCUAACCCAAAUCCAACAAAUUCCUAACCGGAAGACCGUCCACGCGCCGCUCUACCUUCCGACCUUCUCUCUCUCUCGCUGGGAGCCAUGGCGACAUUCUCGUGGGCAUCCUUCCGGUUCCGCACCGGCUGAUGAAACUCCUUUAUAAGAGCCCGAAGGUUAAGGUUGUGGCGAUGGAUUGGAUUCUGAGGCACCAUGGUGUUGGGCUUGGAUCGAUUCUAUUGCUUCUCUUCUCUAAAUGCUCUUCGUGGAACAGCUGGAGAUUUAAUGUAGUUUCUUCUCCAAGAACUGGUGCAAAUAAUGUUGGCUCUAAAUAUCAGGAUUACUUGAAAUUAUUUGAGGUUCCUUUCACUCUGGAGGGUUCUAGUCGUUCUUUUUGUGGUUUCUAGUUUGAACAUCAAGAUUAUGGGGGCCAUCUGUUGUGUGGCUGCUCCAAGGAAGAAACCUUUGUUUUCCUGUUACAAGAUGAGCGACAGUCAUCUGCUUAUAAGAAUGCUGGAUGCUCCUCUAGAUGGAGCUUUCUACAUGGCAACCGAACUCAUACAAUGGAUGUUUUCGACAACCAUUCUGAGUUUUCUCAUCACAACAGUGGGAAUAUUGACUCAAAAUUUAAGCAUCGCAUAGAAACAGAUCAUGAAGGUCUUCUAGCUGGGAAGACACCGGUAGCAGCUUCUCAGGCACUCAGACAACUGAAGUCUCCUGAUUAAUUGAGCAUUGGUUGUAGCUCCAAAGUGGCUGCUGAAGGUAAAAUAUUUGGAUUGUGUUCUAUAUUUAGGGAAAACAUUCUUGUGCUGAGAAGCUUUUAGCUAUAGAAUUUUCUAAUAGUUACAUAAUGUUUUACAAUAUGAAGAAAUGCUGUUAUAAAUAAAAUUUUUACUCCAAUUUAACAAAAUAACAGAGCGGCCCUUACCUUUAACUCAUGAAAGAAUUUACAAAUCAGUAGAUUCCAGAACUUAGAAGUGAUUUUCACUGACGCAAGCUGUGGCAUAUAGUAUGGAUUUCUUCUAAUCCAUACAGCUCAUGUCUAGAAAGAGACUGCACGAGUUCCACUUAUAAAUGUCAAAUUAUUUCCAAUCAGUUGUUCAGGCUCGUCAAACUAUGACAUGAUCCUCUUUUUAUGGUAAAUACUAUCAUAAUCUAUCGUACCUAGGAAAUUUUGAAGAGUGUAGCUGGAUAACUAAUCAUGUUCAAUACUCUUCUUAACUUGUUUCUGUAGAAUAAUAAAGUUUCUGCUGCAAUUUUAGUGGAUAAAUGUUUCAUGUUAAUGCAAUCAAUGCUGCAUAGAGGGUAUAAUUUUCAUGCAUUCUUUGCAUAAUUCCUCAUCUAAUAUUCUUAUUCUUGUAACAGAUGGAUCCAUCAGAAGAAAUUUACCCUUCAAUCAUAGGAAAGAGACUCCAGUAGAUCACAAGUAAUUGCACCAUGUAUUGAGCCAUCAAUUUCUCCAUCUACAUCGGCUUCUAAAGCAGGCCCAUCAUCUUUGAAGACAAGCCAAACAUCAAGUAUGAUAUCAAGACUACUCUCUGAUAACAGAGUUCCACCUGUUAAAUCUUUAAAUGAGGACAGCUCUCUUGAAGGAAGGCAGUCUUUUGUUCUUCCAGGCACUGACUUAUCCAAUGAUGGAUCCCAGAUUCCCAGGUUGGGUCUUUUGAUGUUUGGCCUUCAGUUGAUAUCUCUAAAUUGAUGUCCUCUUUCCAAGGAGAGACAUGGUCAUUUGGAAGCGGACACUCAAGUUACUGCACCAACAAACUUGCAAAUUCAAGCACUCAGCUUUCAUCAACUUCCCUUUAUUCUGAUUCACAAAUGUGCAGAGUAUGCUCAAAGGUAUUGAAUGAUAGAUCCUUGUGGAGUAGCCAGAAACUGGUUCUGAACAAAGAGAUAUCUGUAGUGGCUAUUCUGGUCUGUGGGCAUGUCUUCCAUGCAAACUGUUUGGAAAUUAUGAUGCAUGCGACUGAAGUUUGACCCAUCUUGUCCAGUCUGCAUGAAUGGUGAGAAAUUUGUAUUGAAACUAGUGGAGAGAACCAAUUGGAAGGUAAGAAGCAGGAUCUCGAGGAGCCAAGUUGCCAGCAUUGAUGUUGAUUGUGAUUCUAGUUCUGCUGAUUAUGCUUCAUUAUGAUUGUUUUUGUUUUAGAUGAUAGGUCUUUGUAUUUCUAGGAGGAAUGAAAUCUCUGUUGAUCUCUAUGACAUACUUUUGGAUUUUGAUUUUGAUGGAUUUAGAACAUGUUGAUGUCUAUUUUGAAUGACAUGUUAAAUGACUUUUGCGUAAUGUUGAAUGCCUUUGCUAUUAAUGAUAUUAUUAUUAUGAGCCAA